ensembl:lncRNA
GUGUGUGUGUGUGUGUGUGUAUAUAUAUAUAUAUAUCUUUGAGUAUUCAGUCACUAGAGGGAGCCCGUUUACUCUUAACAACUAGAAAGCUUCUGGAGCUUUGGAAAGAGAUAUUGGGGUUGUUAAAAAUACCUUACUGCUGCAAAAUAACUUUAUUAAAACCAAAAUCUACAUAUAUGCGUGAUCUACAUGAAAUGUAUAUAUUUCAUACUCUAUGAAUGAACAGAUUUACAAGGAGAAAACUUUGACAUCUCUUAAAACUCAUCACUAAAAUGGGUAUGGGCAUUCAUAAGAAUAUUUCAUCUUCUUUUUCCAUACAGUGCUACACAUAACUGGGCAUUAUAUUCCAGUUAUCAGGGUUACUGCAGUGCAGCGUCUGACAUCAUGAUCAGUGUUGCCUUUUCCUGGGGAUAUCCUUCACAAACACAGAGCCUGAGACUGGGACGGGAACAGGAAAGCAUUCACUUAAAGGAGGGUUGGCUGUGGUGAAGAGGUGAGAUUUUAGCAAGGACAAAUAUUCCUUCAGACACAACUUAUAUUUUGGACUUUAAUUCACUUUACUGGAUUAAUGGUUAUUUUCUGAAGGAUAAUAGACAAAAAUUGUAUACGAUAAAAAGAGUGAGAACAUGUAAAACAACAUGCUCUUUAAAUUAUUGAUGGGCCUUAAUAAUUAGUUAUAACUUUGAGCAAAAAUAUAUAUGUAAAGACUGCAUAAAUAUAUGAUCAUUCCCUCAACUAGGCAUCAUUUCUCUCUCUCUCUCUCUCGCUCAUGUCUGAACUUAAGGUUGAGCAAGUGGAGCUCCUGCCCUACAGCUGUUAUGGUUCAAGGGCAGGAAGCAGCUUGGUUCCCACACAAAGGAACAGAGUAUUGGAGCACCAUAUGCAGCAUGGGAUACUGAAGUUCCCAGCUCUAUAAGGACCGUAUGAAUAAUAUUGUGCGUCUACUACGGAACGCAUAAACUGGGGGAAUUGUAAAUAGGCUACCUUGGAGCUUGGUCUUUGAAUUUUUACUCUCCAUUAGUGAAGAUCCCCUCAAGUUAUUUCGGAGGGUGGACGAAGAUCUGGCUCAUUAUCUUCUAUCAGAAACAGAAGCGAAGGGCUGCA